UACAGAGACUGCAAGCGUUACUCGGAUUCACUGGGCGUAAAGGGAGCGCAGGCGGACCGGUGUGUCAGAUGUGAAACCCCAGGGCUCAACCCUGGGACUGCGUCUGAAACUGCCGGUCUAGGGACUCGGAGGGGCUAGUGGAAUUCCUGGUGGAGCAGUGAAAUGCGUAGAUAUCAGGAGGAACACCAGCGGCGAAGGCGGCGCUCUGGGCCGGUACUGACACUGAGGAGCGAAAGCGUGGGUAGCAAACAGG
rnacentral:rRNA from 1 species